UUCAAUCGUCAAGUAUCCAUGCCU
rnacentral:miRNA from 1 species